rnacentral:rRNA from 1 species
GGGGGGGGCGGGGGGGGGGGGGGGGGGGGGCAGGGCGGGCGGGGAAGAAAAGGAGUGAAGCUUCGGCAGAAAUUCAUGUCGGAUUAGUGGCAGACGGGUGAGUAACGCGUGAGCAACCUACCUCUUACAAAGGGAUAGCCUCGGGAAACCGGGAUGAAGACCAUAUAACAUUGCGACGAAGCAUUUCGAUGCAAUCAAAGCUACGGCGGUAAGAGAUGGGCUCGCGUCCCAUUAACCAGAUGGUGAGGUAACGGCUCACCAUAGUAACGAUGGGUAACCGGCCUGAGAGGGUGAACGGUCACACUGGAACUGAGACACGGUCCAGACUCCUACGGGAGGCAGCAGUGGGGAAUAUUGCACAAUGGAGGGAACUCUGAUGCAGCGACGCCGCGUGAGUGAUGAAGGAAUUCGUUUCGUAAAACUCUGUUCUAUGGGAAGAAAAGGACUGUACCAUAGGAGAAAGCUCCGGCUAAAUACGUG